ensembl:lncRNA
CUUCUCUUAAAAGCAGAAGUCUCGAUAAUGCAGCGUAUCUCGAUCGAUUUGUUUAGGCCAGUGAAAGCAAUAAUUAUCCUCACGCUAGACUUCACGCUGCUUUUCAAAAGCAGAAUUCUCUCAUAUUUCUGCUUGCUUCAAUGGAACACGUUUCUGCUCAACUUCCAAGUGUCAGAAAUUGCCCUGAGAGAGAAAGAGAGAAGGAAGACAAGAGAGGAGAAAACAUUAUGAAAUGUCAGCAGCUCAAAUGGAUUACUGUUCAAUAUCAGUCAAGACACUCUGAAAAGGAAACGGUGAGGUGCUCUCUUGGCUUAUCUCCUCAGCAGUGGACGUGUGGCGGGACGAUGUUCUAGGAAAAUGAACUGUCGCCGUAUCCCUCAAGCGCGUCUACCUCGCACACUCCGAGGCGCAUACACAAAUAUAUAAGCCACUCAGGCUUCUCUGCUGUUUGUGCACACCUUGUUGCCUCCGGAGGGGCAAUUACCGAUGCUCACAGCCUGUCUGAGGUGUCAGUGGAUGGGCUCCCAUCCCAAUCCUCUCCCUCUGUCCAUCUCUCCUCUCCAUUAUCAGCAGGGUAAAUAAUGCCCCUGCCUCUGAUGCUGAUGGAGAUGUGACUGGGACAACUGAUCCAAUUGCCCUCCGCUCAAUUUAUCUUUAGCAGCUAAAGCGGCGUUUUAGCGUUCAGUAAGUAGAACUUUGAGGUGAGACAAACAACAAACCUCUGGCUCUUGGAUACAAUGCAGAAUAGUGCAUUACUACUACCUAAAUAUAUAAUAUAAUAUAAUAUAAUAUAAUAUAAUAUAAUAUAAUAUAAUAUAAUAUAAUAUAAUAUAGUGCUGUCAAAUGAUUAAUCACAUGCAAAAUAAAG